CCCCUCGCUUCUUUCUGCAGGUUACACCACCCCCAACCUGGACCCUAUCCAAUAGGCUCGUGGUCCCUGAUGGUCCUGGACCACUGAUUUGAGGCCUUUCUGCUUCCUUUGAUUCAGUCUUUGGCAGAGCCCCAGCAGCAGGAGUCCUUGAUGGCACCUGGCCCUUUCUAGUCACCGACAAGGGAAACCUGAGAAACCAUUCUCAGAAAUGGAACUAAAUUUGUGAAAACAGACGAAUCCAGGUGCUCUACAAAUGUUUAACUGUCCAGCAUUGGCGAGGCCUCUGUGAUACUGGGCCUGGGGGUGACCAGCUCCACAAAAGGCUCCUGUUCAUGUCUGAGCACAGACUAGAAGAUCCUUCUCAUGUUAAGAACCCAACCAUGGGGAGAAUCCGAAAUCAAGCUCCGACAUAGAGAAACUGUGGAAUUGCAAAUCAAGAUGAGGAAGCUCUGUGUAAUAAUGAAAGUUCAAGUCAACCAGUAAUGACCGUGGAGGGAGGUGGUUAAACAUGCAGGGUCUCAGCAACUGAGAUUCUGAUCAGUAGGGCCAAGAUGGAGCCGUGGUGGGUCCUAUGCACGGAAAAGUCAGGGGACAAGCUCUGCUUAUUAUGCCUGGACAGCCCCAUACAACCCCCAAGUGAGAACGUCUUUGAUUGUCCAUGAAGCCAAAGUCUCUUAAAUGGUGUGGACUUUUGAAUGUACAUGUCAGCUGGUUGCACGAGACUCACAUAUGGGUGUUAAAGAUCCAACCGAAUUCUUUUAAGAUCCAUGUUCAAUAUCACAUCUCCCAUCCCCUCGGAUCAGAGUUCCCCACAUGAGCAGCAUCAGAAACUCCACUGAAGCGGGGCAGAGGAAUCGUUUGAGGAGAAUCUCAGAGAGGACUCAUCUGCUUUCGUAGAACUUAUACCACGAGAUUAAAUGUUCAGGGGAUAAUAUUUCACAAGUUACAUGUUUGCUUAUGGAAUAUUUUUCCUCUAGUGAAAAUAUGAUUUGUAAAUAAUUAGAAACACAUUCAAACUUUUUAUUUUCAAGAUUAAACAUUCCCAGUGGCCACAGUGGUCUAGGGAGAUUUAUUUGACUUCCAAAGAUAAGUAAUAAAUUGCCUAGUUUCAGUUGCCUUUCUUGCCCUAUUCCAUUUGCUGAUAACGUGUAGAUCAGUGGAAGCAUUUUUUCCCCUCAGAUCUUAGUUAGCAAGAGGCUGCCAUCUAUAGAUCCUUGACCCAAUUACACACUGGUUUCAGAGACUGAAACAACAGGGGCAUUGUAGGCCUUUAAAAGAGUUUUAUACCUUUUAACUCUGAGGAUUAGGGCUUUAGGUUUUUGAUAGGCUUUUAUAUCUUAAUUUGCUUUAUUUCGCAAAGAAGCUCAAAGUGCUUAUUGUAAGAAAGACAUAAGAGUUGUCAAGCUUCCCUUUGUGCAGAUGGAGAAACUAAGACCUACAGAUGUCGGAGGACUUGCUGCCUGGUGUCAUCCAGGACGUCGGGGCAGAGCUAGGACUUAUACCCAAGCUGAAUGUUUAUUUCCCAGGCAUCUCUGCCUUCCUGAUUCAGCGAAACAAGGCUCUCUUGGCAGAGGGGUGCCAGCACCCACAAAUGGAGUCCAGCCCAAGGUUGAUGCCAUAGAAGCUGAGUUUCCUCACCAACGCUAUGAGAAGGUCUUCCAUUUUGGAAUUUUC